rnacentral:rRNA from 1 species
UGGGGAAUAUUGGACAAUGGGCGAAAGCCUGAUCCAGCCAUGCCGCGUGUGUGAUGAAGGCCUUUUUGGUUGUAAAGCACUUUAAGUGGGGAGGAAAAGCUUAUGGUUAAUACCCAUAAGCCCUGACGUUACCCACAGAAUAAGCACCGGCUAACUCUGUGCCAGCAGCCGCGGUAAUACAGAGGGUGCAAGCGUUAAUCGGAAUUACUGGGCGUAAAGCGCGCGUAGGUGGUUAUUUAAGUCAGAUGUGAAAGCCCCGGGCUUAACCUGGGAACUGCAUCUGAUACUGGAUAACUAGAGUAGGUGAGAGGGGAGUAGAAUUCCGGGUGUAGCGGUGAAAUGCGUAGAGAUCUGGAGGAAUACCGAUGGCGAAGGCAGCUCCCUGGCAUCAUACUGACACUGAGGUGCGAAAGCGUGGGUAGCAAACAGGAUUAGAUACCCUGGUAGUCCACGCCGUAAACGAUGUCUACCAGUCGUUGGGUCUUUUAAAGACUUAGUGACGCAGUUAACGCAAUAAGUAGACCGCCUGGGGAGUACGGCCAACANAGGUUAA